GGCUGGUCUGAAUGUACUGAGUUAUCUCAAUUUAUUUUCACAGUCAAUUACAGAUUGAACUCCUUAUUCUACUCUCUCCCUCCUCACCACUGUACUUGACUAGUCUUAA
rnacentral:Y_RNA from 1 species